UGUGGCUUUUUAGGCUGUGCUUGGUGAAUUGUGACUGUGUCAGAACCUGAGGGACCACCUUUCUCUGUUGGACUCCAGUGAGUGGGAUCCCGCUGCUGGUUCAGGCAGGUAUGACACAGACAGUGGUAUAUAGUGGGUACACUCUUAGUUACGCCUCCAGAUUUGUCAGCACUGUGCUGUCUGCUAGGGUCUGGGAGCAGCCUAGGUGAGGGCCUGUCCUGAGUGAGGUGGCAUGACAGUUGUGUUAUUUCUAAGGGGGUGAAUGGUCCUGUAGUGGAUCUUCAGGAUUGCCCUACUUUGGGGUUGGGACAUCAACUGAAGUCUCACGCCCCACCCCCUUUUUAAGUUGAGGUUUGAGCAGGACAAGGUCUUGGAUAGAGUGAGUUACAAUUUCUUUCAACUAGGCUGGGGUAUACCAACAUUUUCAAAGUACUGGAUUCAAUCCUCAGCCCCACUUUGAGAGGAUAAAACAACCACCAGCAACAACUUAAAAACCUCUUUAAAAACAACAUCUACACCACCACUAACAUAGUGAGGGAAGGGCAGCAAUAAUAUAGAACGGACUAAACUGUU
rnacentral:lncRNA from 1 species